rnacentral:rRNA from 1 species
GACAGAGGGUGCAAACGUUGUUCGGAAUUACUGGGCGUAAAGCGCGUGUAGGCGGCUGUGUAAGUCGGGCGUGAAAUCCCAUGGCUCAACCAUGGAAGUGCACCCGAAACUGCGUAGCUAGAGUCCUGGAGAGGAAGGUGGAAUGCUUGGUGUAGAGGUGAAAUUCGUAGAUAUCAAGCGGAACACCGGUGGCGAAGGCGGCACUCUGGGCCGAUACUGACACUGAGGAGCGAAAGCGUGGGGAGCGAACAGG